GGUGAAACAACAACCACGUGUGUAUUAUUUACACAUACGUACAGCUAUAGAUUAGGUACCUGUGUGCAGUACCGGUAUGGUACCGAGCAUUUAUAGUUUAAUAAUAACAUAUUUUUAUUAAUGCAUGUACCUUAUAGCAUGAAAAAAUCAUUUAAUCGCAUUUGGUUCGCCUUUAAACGUGUGAAUUUUAAACCUUGAAAUUCCGACUGGGGAUCAGGAUUCAUAUAUAGUUUCGAGCACCCGGGAUCCUGGCAGUGACCAGUACGUCAUAAGUAACAGAGAGCGUGCAUGAAGUAGGACCAUACAAUGUGCACUCUCAUCAAAUGCGCUGUGAAGUUCACGCUGUCAACUCUAAAGUCACAUCGAUGCACCUUGUCAAAAACUCAGGCUUGUUAUCCCCUUCAUAUGGAGCCCACCAAUUCUCUAAGCUGAUGUGUCUAACUACUCAGUGCUCACAAGUGGUGGAGCUGUGCAAGCUUGUUCUUGGAGAGUUCAACAUUGACUGAUACAGGGGGUACAGUUCCAAUAACUUCAGUGUUAUCUGUCGCCGUAAACCAGUGUUCAACCAUUUUCAGCAAUACAGUUCCACAAGAGCAAGAGAAGCCGCACUCAGCACAGGCAAACCUCUCUGUGACGCACACACCCCAAGGCACCUCGCUGUUCAAAUCUCAGUUCAGCCCUUCAGGACAGUAUGAUGUUGUGGUCCAGUGGUAGGCAAAUGUUUCUACAGCUCGGCGGUCUUUCCCAGGUGCAGCAGUCUGUAGGUGUUUUGCUCAGCUUUUGAUCUCUGGCAUUCAGCCUGCUGGUAAGAGUCCAUGACAGUGGGAGCGAAUGGGCCAGUACACCAACAUCAUAGGGCUGUAGAUCGCAGUCCAACAAGUUCACACAUUCAAUUUUUGUCCAAUCCAUGCAAUCUCACACAGCUGCUGUUGCUCAUAUGUACAUAUGUUUUUGGCACAUUCCUACCAGCCUGAGUGUUGCUUUAUUGCCUCUGAUUGAAUAGUUUUUUUCUUUUCCUAAACCUUGACACCUGUCUCUUUCUCUGUCCUUUUGCCAUGGCAAACACUGUGUUUCUCAAAAAGUACAAAAUCUCAUAUCUAAUGUGAGCUCCACUGAAUAAUUUUAUUCUGCCAGGCAUAUCCAGUUUCAGAGUUUAUAUGCACCAAAAGCACUUACCUGUUAUGUAUCCCCGACAUCCAUUGACACCUUCAGAACCUAUCACUUAUGCACCACUUGACAGUUAAACAUUUACAUUUAAAACCUCAAGUUUUCCUUUUUGACAGUUUUAUUUGAUUGGUGCUUCCUUGUGCUAAAGCAGCAUAAGUUUCAGUCAAGUCAGUCAGUUCAACCAUAAAAUUAAGGUUCAGUCUUACAACAAAUCACAGGAAUCUGGGAAGAUGUCAAAGUGACACGUCAGUAGUCACUGUUGUCUGCAGCACCCGUCACACUAUACAAACUAGCCUCUAUUAUGAUUAGUCAAUGUCUCUUAAUAUCAUUGGCUCUUUUCAUAUAUUCCCACUGAAAAAAUUAAUAAAAAAAAACCAAUCUGAAUGUAGUGCCUGUAACAUGGACUUGACCAAUCACAGGAUUGCAAUUGCCACAAACAGUACAAGGAUUGCCAAAUGCAGUUCACCAUGUGUAUACAAAUACCACAGUCCACAGUGGCAUCUUUUACAACCACAACGAUUUACAAAUCUAUAACAUAAGAAGUCACUGCUCUGCAUUCUUUCCGGGUUGAUUCCCUCUUGUGUUUGUUAAGAUUAUUUGUCUUUAUUAUUAUUCUCACCAAAAUUGUGCCGCGUUUCUGGUGAAAAUGGUUAUUCUGAAGUUUAUGAAAUUUUAACAUGUUUGUCUGUAGGACUUGAACGAAUGAAUGAUUAUGGCAUAAAGCUGCAUUGGCAAUAUUUCAGGCAUAUUGUGGGGACUGUAGGACUUGAAGUUGUGCAUCCUAACUUUUAGGUAGAUUUUGUCACGUGACUUGGCGGCCAUCUUGGAUUUUGAUGAAAACCUGAAAAAAAUUUUCUUCUCCAGAACGGCUGAUGUGACUGAGCAGAAAUUUCAACUGAAUGUGUACAAAGCCUAGGCUUGUUAAGUUUGAGAAUGAGAACUUUCUUGGUUGAAAAUUGUACAAGCUUGCUAUUGGGUUAAAUUGUCUUGUAACCCCAAAUUUCGUUUUUUGCUAAUAAUGUCUACACUUGUUCAGGUGAUGUUCUGCAAAUAGUCCUGUCAUAUGCAGUUUUUGACGCUGAUUCCGAAAAUGCAAUUUUUGCAAAACCGGAAGUGACAUUAUCAAAACCAGAAGUGGGUAUACCUCCUUAACCAGUGAAGCUAGAGAUGCAAUCAUCCCAAGGCAGGCAGACAAAUUUUACAUUACCGGAAGUGACGUCAACAACCCGAAAGUAGUACAUGCCAAAAAAUUUGCAGUUUUUUCAUUCUCAAAAUUGAAAAACUUCUAAGCGAAAGAGGCUUGACAGAAAUGCGUGAAACUUAGAUAGGUGACAGACUUGGAGAUGUGCUCUUUCGAGUAAAGAUUUGGGUGUCCUCAAGUCAUGUGAUGUGGUGGCCAUAUACAUUUGACAUGAAAAUGUUUGAGAGUCAUUUUCUCCAGAACCCUGGCUGAUUGUCUUGAAAUUUAGCACACGUAACAAGCGUUCCCUGGAGACUGUUUGGAAGAAAGAAUGCAAUGUUUAUGCAAAUUAGGUUUUACAUGAUACAGAGGAAGUGAUAUCACGUUUUUUUGUGUGUGUGUGUUUUUUGGAAUUUCAAGAUUCUAAAUAUGCUAUCUGACAUAAUUUGAUGUCCAGAUCACGAAUUUGUUCUUAUUUUUUCCCUGUAAGAUGUAGUUAUGUUGCAAAUUGUGAUCAGAAAUUUGCAAUUUCCCCAUAUUUGUAGGUCUUGUGACAGAAAACUGAUACACCUGUAGAGUUCAAGAUUGCUGAGUGAAAGGGACUAUAUAUGUACUGUAUGUAUGCUGAAAAUGUUUGAGUUGUCUUAAGGCAGGAUAUACAGGGCUUCAAAAUUUGAUAAAAGGUCGAUUUACGAUUUUUUGGCACAUUUACAAGACAUGUUACAUAAUGCAUGUACAAUCUGUUUGUGUCUAGAAUGAAUGUAGAAAUAUUGUAAGUAUGCCACCCAACAUAGUUUGAUGUUCUUAUCUCGAACCCGGUCUUAUUUUUUUUCUUGAUGUGUAUACUUUUGACCUAAAUUGUGAUUAAGCUGUGAAAAAUCGCAAUUAUCCCAGUAUUUGCUGGACACUAGACAGAAAACUGCUAUAGUUGUAAGCUGAAAAUGACUGUAUAAUAAGGGCUAUGUAUGUUCUGUAAGUAUGCUGAAAAUCCUUGAGCUGUGUGGAAAAGAAGAGGACAUACACGCCUUUAAACAUUGCCCACAGGUUGAUUGACUACAUUUGACACAUUUAUAUGUACAUAUUAUGUAGUGUAUGUACAGUGCAUUGAUGGUUACGAAGAAUAUGUGCUUUCUAUCAAUGCAUAGACACCAUUCAAUUAAUGUACUGUUUCUGCAAUAUGACGAUUGACAGAAAGUGUUUAUGUGUCAUUUUCUUGACAAGGUUUAAUGCGAUUAAGCUGAAAUUUAAAAUGCAGAUAGAGCAUGUUCGAACAAAUGAAGGGUGCAGAAAUUAGUUGUUUAUCUUGAAAACUGUGGAAAUGCGCUGAUCACUGAAUUUGUCACAGAAUCAAUAUUUUCUGAAUUUAAAUAUUUUCUGUAUUCUACUUUAUGUAGUUUGAUGACCUGACCACAAAGCUGCUCUGAAACCUAUAUCUGCUAUGUAUAUAAUAAACAGUCAUAUUUCUGACAGUACAUAAUAAUUUUGGCCUUUUUUUUUAAUUUAAUUCCGACAUCUUAGUACUAUCUAAUGUAUGAAUGACAUGUGUAUGUGUCUGUGUCAUUCUGCUGUAUUUUGGUUUAGAGGACAGGAUUUGAACAUAUCUCGCUGAACAUUAUACAGUUUUAUGAACUGUUCAGUCAGGAGAGCUACAGGUGUUCACUGACUGCCUUGUUUGCCAUUAAUAACAUUCUUCAAAAUCAGCAACAGACAUUAAUUUUGAUUUGUCAUUCUGUCUGCCCACCCCGUACUCUGUCCACCUAUCUGUCACACAGGUCUUAUUGUCUCAUUCUCAUAAAAUUUUAUGUGCAUGUGUUCAUUUUGUGUAACCUCACAUCAAGUUUAAAAUCCAGCUUACUCCAUGAAUAAUUGUUGCAUAUUUAGUGUGUCGUAUUAAUCUUAAUUUGCCAUAAUUAUGACCUUGAAGGGUGCUUUACUUUUCAACUUCAUGCAUAUCAUUGAUUCUGUUAACUUUAUUCUUAAUGUUAUAUUCGUAUCCUUGAAGGUCUGCCAGCAAGCUGAAGAUGGUCGUGAGUUUUCCCCAAGCUUUGCCCGGUUUAAUACUGGCUAUCAUCAUUAGCUGUCUGGUUGAAUAACAAAUAUUCAUGAAUUUCAUCAUAUUUGGCCACUGUCCUAACAGAUUGACAACUCCAUUUUCUGAUAUGGUGGAACAGUUUGCACUGUCAUCGUUGUCUUCAUCUCAUUGAACUUCAAGCAAAAUGCAAGCCAUCAAUCCAGGACCUCCUACAGAAAUGCAUCCUACACCUUUCACAGACCUAAAUGUACUGUGUGCAGUAAUGCUCGAAUGACUAUACUCGGGAACGUCCAAAUAUGGAGAAGAGUAAACAUUAAUAACAUAUUUGUAAUAAUCAGCUCAUUACAUAUUAUUCUUGCUGAUAGUAUGAGUACAUCAAUGCAGAAAUUGCAAAGUUCUUGCCCACUUGUUAAAGUGAAGGUAGAAAGUGAUAAUAUUUAAAUUGUGUAAUAUAUAUUACAUAUAGGUGAAUGACUUAAAAUUUUACCCCAAAAGUUCAUUUUUAGAGGCAAAUAAAUGUUGUCAGAUAUACUUUUGGUGCGAUAACUUACCUAUUCCUUAGGAUAUCGUCCUACUUUCCAAACAAACCCCAAAACACCUUUAUAACAUUAAUAGAACUCUCAGAAUAAGACACAAGGUACAAUUUUUGUGAUGGUCCAAAUUUAAGGUCAUAUACCAUGAAUUUCCAAAGUACUUUAACUGCCUUAUCGGUGUAAAUGUUCAAAUAAUAUGUCUUUGUCCAUGUUCAUUUGUAAUAUUUUUUGGUUAAAUAAGUAUAAAUAAAG